rnacentral:rRNA from 1 species
CGGACGGGUGAGUAAUGUCUGGGAAACUGCCUGAUGGAGGGGGAUAACUACUGGAAACGGUAGCUAAUACCGCAUAACGUCGCAAGACCAAAGAGGGGGACCUUAGGGCCUCUUGCCAUCGGAUGUGCCCAGAUGGGAUUAGCUAGUAGGUGGGGUAAAGGCUCACCUAGGCGACGAUCCCUAGCUGGUCUGAGAGGAUGACCAGCCGCACUGGAACUGAGACACGGUCCAG